CGCAAUUACCAAGAUAGUUUUAAUGUGUCAUUGACUAUGGGAUACUUUGUCUUCGCUUGUUUUAAAUACCUGGUCAAGCAAGGAGAAGCCAAUGCUGUUGUGCUCGCUAUAAAAAUAGAGUGGGAUAUGAUCUUCCAAAACUAAUAUUCUCAGAAAAAAUCUUAAGAGUUCCUAGUGAGGGGGAAAAGAUUGCAAUGAAAUGUUUUCUCCACUUGAAGACAUUUGCAGGCAUUUAACAGUGUCACAGCUGUGCAGGAACUGAAAGGCUCCUGACAGUUUAAAGCACACUGUGAUAUAUGUUCUCACCUUCCAACUUGCUCUUUGUUUCCCUCCCACGAUGCUGUUUUCAAAGUCAUUUACUGGGGAAGAAAAUAAAAUCACAAAAAGAAGCUGCAGUCUGUACAGUCCUCCCAUCCUCCGUAGCAAAGAUGUUGGUCGAUGCCUUAAUUAGCCCUACAACGUCGUGUCCCCCCCUUCACAUCUUCUAUAUAAAAGUGGUAAAAAUGGCAAAUAAGCCUGGGAGCAAUUUAGGGUCUAUAUCCAUAGAAAGCCCAAAGAAGCUAUGUGACACAGAUGCAGAAACCAACUGUUGUAUUUGACACAUUAACAAUUCCAGGGCUCCAACGGGAACAGCAAUGCGAGAAAAAUAAACUUCAUUUGGUUGGGUUCCACCUGAGAAAAUGUGCAACUAAUGAACAAAAUCUGAAGUCCCACUGGUGCUCUACAAACCUAAUUACAUGUCACCUAAUUGCUCUGAGAUACUCUGUGUUUGCCUAUGAAACACUGCGACUUCACAACUACUCUUUGGGUUGCUCUGAAAAGUCACCACCAUACACAAACUACUGUCGUUGUGAUAAAGGAAAAUUAGUAUGACUGCAAUCCACUCUGUGCUACUUCAACUGUGCCGGAUUUCACCCCUCCAUGUGCCCAACUGACUCAACAGUACUGAAUUUUGGCUAAAAUUGAACUGCUAACAGAAGGUAGCAAGGAACAGAUAGAGGAUCUUCUGCCCACCUCAAGAAGGACACGCUGUGCUGGCUUCAGGUAUUCAAUUCUGGCUCUCAACGCACCAAAGUACAGUGGAAAUUCCCUACCUAUUUUUUCUCAAAGAUGAGGGCAGUGCUUUAAGCCUUUAUGGACAUUUUUCACAAGAUUUCAACAGAAGAGUUUAUUCAGGGGAGAAGAUAUUCAUGAGCGUGUCCAAAUUCUUGCCUGAGAUUGCAACAAUGCAUUACAAAAACAAGGUCUCCGCUUCUGAGUGCCUCCACCUCACUGGGACAGAGCAGAGAAAUGAUUCAGCAGAAAGGCUCAAUCCAACAACUCAAUGGUAGGCACAACCCAAUCCAACAACUCAACGGUAGGCACAGCCCAAUCCAACAACUCAACAGUAGGCACAACCCAAUCCAACAACUCAACAGUAGGCACAACCCAAUCCAACAACUCAAUGGUAGGCACAGCCCAAUCCAACAACUCAAU
rnacentral:lncRNA from 1 species